UGCCAUCGUCUCUUCCUGACAAGAAGGAAACAAAGUUGAGUGUGUCUGUACACUGCUUUUUAACUUCUAAUAAAGUCAUUUAAAGUUCCAGCACAUAUAGCAAGUGCAAGAGGGGACAAAGCUCAGCUUCCAACAUCAGUGUCCUUUGUGUUCCACAGAUGCCCUGAACAAUGCUCCAAAGACUGCUUUCAGUAGGGGCAAAUCCUCAUUAAUCAUUCCUGGCUGACAGCACAAGGGAACACCUGCAUCUGGUGCAGGGACCAGGCACCGGCUUCUGGGAGUCUGCAUUAAAAAGACCAACAACCAAUUCAAGUGGUGGGAGUACGCUUCUAAUAGCCAUGAGUUGAUCACAUCUUGUAGGCUGGACAGCAGGAGGAGACCAGCAAGUUUUUGUCACUGCUGUUUUUGCUGUCUGCUUGCACUCUAACCAUCUACAUUGGAUCAGCAAAGAAAUUUGCACAGGAUUAAAGAUGAAAUACACA